UACGUAGGUGGCAAGCGUUGUCCGGAUUUAUUGGGUUUAAAGGGUGCGUAGGCGGCCGCCUAAGUCAGUUGUGAAAUACCCCGGCUCAACCGGGGGGGUGCGAUUGAUACUGGGCGGCUCGAGUAACAGCGAGGUUGGCGGAAUUGACGGUGUAGCGGUGAAAUGCAUAGAUAUCGUCAAGAACACCGAUAGCGAAGGCAGCCAACUAGGGGUUAACUGACGCUGAGGCACGAAAGUGCGGGGAGCAAACAGG
rnacentral:rRNA from 1 species